CCUCCUCCUCACUCCCACGCCACACCGUCACACCAUCUCCCUCCUCCCUCAUCACCAGCCGCAGCACUAGAAGAUUUGCCACCGACGAGAUCCAGCGCCUGGCAAGGUCCUCGGGUCGGCUAUCGCUCCCACCACUCCGUCGGCCAGAUCUGCGCCCUUGACUCCCUCUUCUCUCGCGUCGCGCGGUGCCUCUGCUCCACCAUGCGGCGGUUACCUCAUGGAUGACGGGGCCAUGGAUCUGUCCUUGAAGGAGAGAAGGAAUAUGACGGAGAGAGAACAGAGAAGGAAGGAGAGGCGGGAGAAGGAGAGAGGAAAGAGGAGAGGGAGGUGCAGCGGCAGAUGGGAGAUGGUCAUCGGCCGACAUUAGUCAUUCAGCCAUUCGCAUCUCUCCUCUUCUCCUGCUCUCGACCACCAAUGCACCCCCUCCUCUUUCCCUUCUCUUCUCACCAUCUCCUCUUCUAUGGAGCUAGCUGAGUGAUCCACGGUGAGGAAGAUGGGGAAGACAGAGCCAACACCGCCGAUGCCCACGGGCCACUUCAGUCAGGUGCCUUCCAUACUUCCUCCUUCAGGAUUUUCAAUCCAAGGUUAGUUUUGCUUUGAAUCUAUAUAUGCUUCUACAUGAUAUUUAGUUUCUGUACUAUGCGCUUGAAAAAAUGACAAGGCCGUGCAGCAGAGCAUAAAAUGAAGCCAGAAACAGGGAUGAAGGGAGAAACAAUGGUGGCUGAACAGUGGACAACCGAAGCUGGCUGAGAAAGAGGGAGGCAGUGCGUGGCAGAAGAGGGAGUCCAUGUGGUAUCCGUUUCUGGUCAUCUUCAGCUUGCAGGUGGGCGGAUUACUAAAAUUGUAGCCAGUCCAUACUACAUGCUCCCAGAGGUAUUAAAGCACAAUUAUGGCCCUGAAAUCAAUGUCUGGAUUGUAGGAGUUAUACUUUACAUAGUUCUUUGUGGUGUGCAAACAUUUUUGGAAGAUUCUGAACAGGGAGUAGCACAAGCAAUUAUGUGCUCUGUGGUAGAUUUCAAAAGAGACCCAAGGCCCGGAGUAUCUGAGCCUGCUAAAGACUUUGUUCGACAGACGCUAGAUCCAGAUCCAAUCACACGGUUUACUACAACACACGUACUCAGUGAGCGUUAGUGAUGUUACCUUUCCCAUUGUGUAAUAGCAUACAGAAUGUUUUCUCUCUCUCUCAUGAUGGUGAAUUCAAUCUUACAUUGGGGUGGUGUCUGUCGGUAGGGUCUCCCUAAACAUGCGUCAUCAAAUCCAAUUGCAAGCUACACGACAAGCUAUGAUUGAAUACCAUGUACAAGUAUGGGGACAGAAUAGUAAACAACAAAUAAAGGAUACAAGACGGAGAUAUUGGACGGACGCAUGGAGCAUGAACUCGUUUUUUUCAGGGGCCACCUUACUUGUGUGCCCUCAGGCUGAGGAGACCUUUCUAAGAUCAACAUCCUUGCCUAAAUAUUUCCCUGGGCAGAAUACACUUCUUAUCCCAAAGCGAUAAACAUACCUAUGUGAGCAUCAUGACCCACAUAGCACUAGCAAACAGUUCUGUAUGAAAUCCUGGAAGCAUUUCAUCUUCUCAACAAUUAUUUUCUUUAGAUCUUUCAACAACAAGGUGACUGUUCAUGUCCUUAAUUAAUCCAAACCUACAUCCUUUGUUAAAUCUAAAGAUGUCUUUGCAUAAUUUUGUGAGUUUUUUCCCAUGCUUUGUUGAUUUUUCCCCCUCUUAAUCUUUUAUUGUCUGUAAGUCACCAAAUGCAAAAGAUAGAUAUUGUUGUGAAGAUAAUGAAAACUUAAUAGUUUUAUAUGGUGAAGCAACAUUUUAAGGACAGCUGAUAAGGAAAAGUCAAACAAGGAUUAGUAGUCCAGUGUUUGGUUACUACGCAACUAUCUUCAGCUUGAGUAAAUGCACAUUGUUCAGUUCAAGCCAUGUUUUGUAGGUAUCUUCCUUUACAUUUGCUUUACAAAAUGGUUUGUUAAUCUAGCCGAGGGCUUCACUUCAUUCAAUUCACUAUAUUUCAUUUACUAAGAUAAAAAUUCAAGUAUCUGCUGUUGCUAUGGUCAAUGGCUUGCACACUGUUUUUAUAGUGCACAAUGAGCGUUGCAAACCGUAAGAAAAACACAUGUUCUUGUUCUAUUCAGUGUCCUUUUUACGCCAUACUCCACCAAUAUAUAACUUUUUUAUGUCCAAUUCAUAGAAAUUCUUGACACCUAAGUGUGCGUGUGAGUCCCCUACAAAAUCUCUCUCUCCCUCUCUCUAAUUAUCUCGAUUUGCCUUUGAGAUUGGAGAUGCAAACACUAGCUAUUUGUAAAUGCACAAGGAGGAGUGCUCAGGGGAGGACGAUAGCUUUCAGUUGUGUUUUCUUAGCACUAGCAGUACGAGAUGCCAAAUGUUAGUUAAGAAGCUUAUGAUUUGUGCCUUUUGUUCUUGACAUAAGUGUACAUGGAGGAUGUGAAAGCGACAACAGAGGAGCUUGCUGUAGCUGCUCGCUUGCUCCGGGAAUCACCCCUCCUGACAGAAGCAAGCACGAUGCCAUGUCCUAGAGUCUACUUAUUUUAGGUAGCAUUGCUUUCUGGAAUACAUCAUUGGAACCUAGUAACAUUCACUGCUUACAGUCAGCAAGACAAGAAGAACAUGAUUGUGUAUGAGUUCAUGCACAACGAAAGCAUCACCUUAGCUGAUGUUAAAUUUGCUCCGUGGAAUCAACAACACGCUAUUGUAUAUGCACGUGUUAUUAAUGUGGUGAGUGAUUGAAGAGGAGGCAUGAGGAGAAGAGCAGUCCAAAGGGCGGGUGGAGCAUGUGACUUGUGGAUGUUAGUUUUCAUUUCCGGAAGAAUAAAUUUUCUAUGAUUUGAGUGUAUGCUGAUGUGUGAAAGUCAAUCAUUUGGAUUCCCAACUAGACUAUUUUGUGUGUUCAAUAUUUUAUUGUGCAUUGAUAAAAUGUUUCAGUGCCAGUGUGCACAAGUUGAAUUUUGAAACAGAUGAGAGGACAACUCUGCAUAAAGCUUUGUUCGGUUACACCUCUUCCCACAGGGAUUGUAGGGGAUUUGGGGGGAAUUUGACUUGUAGGAGAUCUAAUCCCCCCUCGAUCCCUGCCAAACCUCUUCAAUUCCCUGUGAACCGAACACAGCUUAAGGGAGUUUGCUCUUUAGGAAGGUUCUUGUUUGCUGUUGUUAUUAAAAGUAGGAAAUUUAUAUACAUAUAACAGUUGCUCAAGCUAAAGUCUUAUGUAACAUGUAACAUCUGAA